GAUGAACGCUGGCGGCGUGCCUAAUACAUGCAAGUCGAGCGAACAGACGAGGAGCUUGCUCCUCUGACGUUAGCGGCGGACGGGUGAGUAACACGUGGAUAACCUACCUAUAAGACUGGGAUAACUUCGGGAAACCGGAGCUAAUACCGGAUAAUAUAUUGAACCGCAUGGUUCAAUAGUGAAAGACGGUUUUGCUGUCACUUAUAGAUGGAUCCGCGCCGCAUUAGCUAGUUGGUAGGGUAACGGCUUACCAAGGCAACGAUGCGUAGCCGACCGGAGAGAGGGAUAGGCCACACGGGAACUGAAACAGGGACCAGACUCCUACGAGAGGCAGCAGUAGGGAAUCUUCCGCAAUGGGCGAAAGCCUGACGGAGCAGCGCCGCGUGAGUGAUGAAGGUCUUCGGAUCGUAAAACUCUGUUAUUAGGGAAGAACAAAUGUGUAAGUAACUAUGCACGUCUUGACGGUACCUAAUCAGAAAGCCACGGCUAACUACGUG
rnacentral:rRNA from 1 species